UGGGGAAUAUUGCACAAUGGGCGAAAGCCUGAUGCAGCAACGCCGCGUGAGUGAUGAAGGCCUUCGGGUUGUAAAGCUCUGUCUUCUGGGACGAUAAUGACGGUACCAGAGGAGGAAGCCACGGCUAACUACGUGCCAGCAGCCGCGGUAAUACGUAGGUGGCAAGCGUUGUCCGGAUUUACUGGGCGUAAAGGAUGCGUAGGCGGAUACUUAAGUCAGAUGUGAAAAUCCCGGGCUUGACUUGGGAACUGCAUUUGAAACUGGGUAUCUAGAGUGCGGGAGAGGAAAGUGGAAUUCCUAGUGUAGCGGUGAAAUGCGUAGAGAUUAGGAAGAACACCAGUGGCGAAGGCGACUUUCUGGACCGUAACUGACGCUGAGGCAUGAAAGCGUGGGGAGCAAAC
rnacentral:rRNA from 1 species